rnacentral:rRNA from 1 species
CUACGUGGUUUUCCGCUGAACUUAAGCAUAUCACUAAGCGGAGGAAAAGAAACUAACCAGGAUUCCCUUAGUAACGGCGAGUGAACAGGGAAAAGCCCAGCACCGAAGCCUGUGGUCAUUUGGCCCCUAGGCAAUGUGGUGUUCAGGUUAGCUCGCGAAGAUGCUGCUCCACCCUAAGUCCUAUAAUGAGUAAGGUUACUCGGACAUGGCCCAAUGAGGGUGAAAGGCCCGUGGGGGUGGAGAUUCAGAAUGGCCAGUAUCUUCCUGAGCAGACCUUGGAGUCGGGUUGUUUGUGAAUGCAGCCCAAAGCGGGUGGUAAACUCCAUCCAAGGCUAAAUACUAGCACGAGUCCGAUAGCGAACAAGUACCGUGAGGGAAAGUUGAAAAGUACUUUGAAGAGAGAGUAAACAGUGCGUGAAACCGUUCAGAGGUAAACAGGUGGAGUUGAACUGCAAGCUCUGAGGAUUCAGCUGGUGAGUAUGGCAUGAGCUUGGUCAUAUUGGUUGUGUGCUCGGGUCUGCUUAGCUGCAGGUCCCCGCUUCGGUGGGGAUGCGCGAAUCACUCAUCAGGUGUGGCGCCCCGUAUGCCAGUCCA